AUUUCUCAAACACGUAAAUAUAUUGGCAAGCAUUUCAAUUUUCAAAAAUAUAUUUUACAAAGUAUACAAGAAGGGCAUUAACAUUGAUAAGAAUUUGGGAAUGAUAGUAAUAAUCGGAUCAGUUGUUAACCAUUAUAAUUAAAAUUGUUAUUAGAAGUGAUUAAGUUGGGUGAGGGGGCCGGGGAUAUAUGGGAGGAUGGAGUUACCUCCCAAACGUUAUUGACAAUAUGUUGAACGCGAGCCUGAUUCUCAUAAGCAAGUUUAGAAGCCAUCAUGCAAAGAGCUCCGAAGUAAUUGACAUCUCCGGGCUUUAUAUUUUUGUCUAACAUUAUCCUUCCAUCCAAAUGACCAAUCACCGACUGGUACUCCGCUGAUGAGCUCUCCGAUGUGAGUUGCGCGCGUUACAUCGUAAGACAUUGAGGAGGAUGCCGAAGAAGCCAUCGUUGGAUGACAAAAAGUUUAGGAUGAACUCGAGGCAGAAACCAAGCAAAGCAAGUGGAGUGGCAAACAGUUGGAGAAACUUUAGAACGAUGAUGGAGAGAGAGAUGAAGAAUCUGUGCCAGAAAUUGAAUUCAUUGGGGUGACUAGAAUCUACAAAUUUCCUUUUCUUGACGUUCUUUGAAAACAGGAGGCGACCCAAGUCCAAGAUCUUCGCUUCUUGUGGCUUCACAAGCAUGUAGCUGCUGGAGAAGCUCUUGUUGCACUCACAACCAUCAUUAAUACCCAUUUUACUUGGUAGUUCUCCGUAAUUAUCUCUUUUAAUUUAGAGAUUAAAUGUAGUUAACAAUGUUUUUCUUUCUGUAUAUAUAAAAUUUUAUGAGGGUCCUACACCUCAUUAGCUUAAUUAUUUUAUAAA